UACGUAGGGUGCGAGCGUUAAUCGGAAUUACUGGGCGUAAAGCGUGCGCAGGCGGUUUUGUAAGUCAGAUGUGAAAUCCCCGGGCUCAACCUGGGAACUGCGUUUGAAACUGCAAGGCUAGAGUGUAGCAGAGGGGGGUAGAAUUCCACGUGUAGCAGUGAAAUGCGUAGAGAUGUGGAGGAAUACCAAUGGCGAAGGCAGCCCCCUGGGUUAACACUGACGCUCAUGCACGAAAGCGUGGGGAGCAAACAGG
rnacentral:rRNA from 1 species